UACGUAGGGUGCGAGCGUUAAUCGGAAUUACUGGGCGUAAAGCGUGCGCAGGCGGUUCGCCAAGUCAGGUGUGAAAUCCCCGGGCUCAACCCGGGAACUGCGUCCGAUACUGGAAGGCUUGAAUCCGGGAGAGGGAUGUGGAAUUCCAGGUGUAGCGGUGAAAUGCGUAGAUAUCUGGAGGAACACCGGUGGCGAAGGCGACAUCCUGGACCGGUAUUGACGCUGAGGCGCGAAAGCCAGGGGAGCAAACGGG
rnacentral:rRNA from 1 species